CGUACAAAACACAGGGGGCGACCAAGGAACCUCCAACAAACCCUAAUUCAUGUUAAAUGCCCCAAAUUGAAGACCAAAUUCAGUUCCAAAUCAAAAUCCGAGCAUAGAAUAGUGAUCUCCUCUUAAAAGGGGUCAAAAGAAAUUAUGCCCUUUAGGUGUUCGUAGAAAUGCCUAAAAGAGAGCCUAAUAUUGAAAAUCUGAUUGAAAAACGCAUACUUGCAUAUUUUGGCGAAAUUAUGCGUGGAAUGUUAAAAAGGGGUUCUAAACAAUUCGUGUUUGAACUCUAUAAGAAAGGAAACCGGAACGUCGAGCGGACAAGCCGGUGGUGGCGCGCGUUUGAAGGGGACGCUUUGAAGGUGAUAUUGGACUCACUCCGGAUGGCGAUCAAGCAUGUUUUCAAGAACCGAACACAACUUUUUGAAGCUUCCGUGUUUAAUUAACUUUGUUAUAGACAAUGUUCAUGUUGUAAACUCUUAACUUAUCGUUUUUGGAUGUUUUAAACUAGUUAGCAGUUAACUAGAAAUACUGUUACUAUGUAAACUUCCGUUUGGUC